CCAUGCUCAUCUUUCACCUCCUUUUGGAUCACAAUGCUCCCAAACAUCUCAAAUCACUCCAUGGCACACUCCAACACCUAAUAAGGACAAUGAAUGCAAAAUGCAACCUAGACAUGGCUAAAUCCUAAUCUAUAUGAUGAAAAUGCUCAUGGAUGAAUGGAUAAAACAAUGUAAAUAUGCAAGAUAUCAUUCUUCCUUGCUAGAAUGGCAUUUCGGACAAGUCUGUCUAUCCUUUUGACAGUUACCGGUGCAGUUGAUGAUAUGGAGUUAUGAAGCCUGUUAUUCCUGCUCAACCAAAGGGUGUAUAUUGUUGCUUGGCCGACCAAGAGACGGAGAGUAGGAGAACAUACACUGUAUCGUUUGAACUGAUUUCAAUUUGUUUCUUUUUUCAAAUAAAAACUCCUUAUAUUUCUCACACUACUUAGUUAUCACACUAUUUUUGAAACUGUUACUCUUCAUGUGGAGAGGUUUGACACACGAUGCCAUUGUUAAAAAUUCAUCUUUUCAUGCAUUCUAGGUACUCUCUCUUUUUUCGCUUAACAAUAUCCUAGGUACUUUCCUCAAUUUUUUUUUUUCUGAUGGCUUCAUUAGUACCUGUGAAAGAAUGAAAAAAUUCAGUUUCUAACCUCACAGAUCGAUGGUUUCUGAUGAUACUGUUCAAGAGAACUUCUUUUAGAUGAUUAAGAAAGAAACACAUUUUUUUUGGUCAGGGCUUUAUGCAAAGUUGGCAGAUGAAAAUUUAAAUACAGGAAAUGUUUAUUGGAUACGGUGGUGAUAAUUUGAGGAAGAAAAGCAAGAAGCUUACCUUAAAGCAGAUUUACAAGGCUUCUAAUAAACGUGAGAAGCACUUCAAGCAACAAAAAAAUAAGAAAAUGUGGUCUUUAUUAAAAAAAAAAUGGUGAUAACUAAGGUAAAAAUGGGGUUUAAGAAACAUUGGUGGAAACGAGGAUUCAUGUUUACGAUCUCUAAGAUCAAACCAAACUUCAGGUAAGUUUUCUUAUUUUUAAAUAUGUUUAUUGUUCUUAUAUAAUGUUACUAAUUUUUUUAGAUA